GGGAGGGCGGCAAUGUCCGCUCGAUGCGUGUGCAGCGCUGCCCUUCCAUCCUUCUGUUAACGCUUCUCGGUCUUAACUGACUGGUUGCGGGCUCAGAUAUUUUACCUUGAGAAAAUUAGAGUGUUUCAGGCAGGCUUGCGCCCGAAUACAUUAGCAUGGAAUAAUAGAAUAGGACUUUUGUCUCCUUUGUUGGUUUGAGGGACUGAAGUA
rnacentral:rRNA from 1 species